UACGUAGGUGGCAAGCGUUGUCCGGAUUUACUGGGCGUAAAGGGCGUGCAGGCGGUCUGUUAAGUCUAGGGUGAAAGCUCCCGGCUCAACUGGGAGAGGUCCUUGGAUACUGGCGGACUUGAGGGAGGCAGAGGAAAGUGGAAUUCCCGGUGUAGUGGUGAUAUACGUAGAUAUCGGGAGGAACACCAGUGGCGAAGGCGGCUUUCUGGGCCUUACCUGACGCUGAGACGCGAAAGCGUGGGGAGCAAACAGG
rnacentral:rRNA from 1 species